CACGGGGGGUGCAAGCGUUAUUCGGAUUUAUUGGGCGUAAAGGGCGCGUAGGCGGCCAUUUAAGUCGGGUGUGAAAUCCCGGGGCUUAACCCCGGAACUGCAUCCGAUACUGGAUGGCUUGAGUAUGGGAGAGGGAAGUGGAAUUCCAGGUGUAGAGGUGAAAUUCGUAGAUAUCUGGAGGAACACCAGUGGCGAAGGCGACUUCCUGGACCAAUACUGACGCUGAUGCGCGAAGGCGUGGGGAGCAAAC
rnacentral:rRNA from 1 species